UUUUUUAAAACCAUGGAGAUUAUAAUAUAUUGAAGUGGGUGUUGGAGUAGACCGAUCCAUAAUAUAAGUCGUGUUUUUGUCUCUUCUACAAAUAAGGUAGGAGAAUUAUUCCUUGACAUUGCAUGUUUCUUUAGCAGAAUUAAAAAAGGGAAAAGUUAUCACAACAGUUGGGAUCGAAAAUCUUGUAGAUGGAUAGAUAGAUGUGUUAGUUUUGAGCAAAACAAAAUGAGAAUGCAUGCAUCAGUUGCUUUAGAACAUGCAUGGGUAGAGAAAUUAAUUAAAUCACCAAGAGACCCUAGGGAAACCAACGUAGGAGUAGACUAUG
rnacentral:lncRNA from 1 species